rnacentral:ncRNA from 43 species
UACCUGGUUGAUCCUGCCAGUA